CCCUUAGAUGUUCUGGGCCGCACGCGCGCUACACUGAUGCAUUCAACAAGCCUCGCCUUGACCGAGAGGUCCGGGUAAUCUUUGAAACUGCAUCGUGAUGGGGCUAGAUUAUUGCAAUUAUUAAUCUUCAACGAGGAAUGCCUAGUAAGCGUGAUUCAUCAAAUCGCGUUGAUUACGUCCCUGCCCUUUGUACACACCGCCCGUCGCUCCUACCGAUUGAAUGUGUUGGUGAGGAGCUCGGAUUGGCAGCAGUUGGUGGUUCGCCACCGGCUAUUGCUGAGAAGUCCUCCAAACCGCCCCAUUUAGAGGAAGGAGAAGUCGUAACA
rnacentral:rRNA from 1 species